GAUAACGUGGCCGAGUGGUUAAGGCGAUGGACUGCUAAUCCAUUUCCCUAGGGAGCGAGAGUUCGAAUCUCUCCGUUAUCG